rnacentral:tRNA from 8 species
GGGGCUGUGGCGCAGUUGGGAGCGCGCAAGACUGGCAGUCUUGAGGUCAGGGGUUCGAUCCCCCUCAGCUCCACCA